GGAUACGCCCGGGUAACCGGGGAAAGGAGAAUCGGAGCUGGUCCGAUUUCUCCCCUCAAGCGAAGCUUAAAAGCCGCGAGAGGCAUAUAUCACCAGUUCCUCUGACCGGGGUCGUGCCCGGCUCAGCUACACGAAUCAGGAACUGAGCGAUGAGCCGCGAAUUAAGAAACCGCGAGCGAAUCGAGUCAGGUAUGACGCAAGUUUCGAACGUCAUAUUGAUACUGUAACCCAGAGGGUUUCGGCUGCUACAGUAAGCCAGACUGUAGAUUGGUCUUGGGUGGGAAACCGCCAAAAGGUCGCUCCCAAGUCAGGGAAGCGAACGCGAAAACAAGACGAAGAUGCAGGAGAUUGAAUGAGCGUGGCAAAGCUCAGCAGAUCUCAUCAAGGGGGCGGUGCGGAAAACCGCGUCACCCCAUUGCAAGGUAGAAAGCAGCCUGAGAGUUAAGAGGUCAGACCCGUCUCACAAGGCAAACGCCCAGCCAAAAGCUGGGGCCGUCCUCGUGACAAAGGUGCCGACGUGAAGAUGCGCCCUUGCAGGCACGUCAGCACCAGGUCCGGCGAAUCACUCCCGGCAGGGAGAGAUCGAACCGGGCGAAGAGGCCUCACUCAAUAAACUCAGGUCGGAAACGACAGGAGCGAUCCCGCUAUGAGAUCGAAAACCGCGCAUGCCGUGCGGAGUAGCGUCGGGGAGUUUGCAGCCCGCGAAAGCGAGAGCGCCUAAUGCAAACAUUUGGGAAAGAGUGCGUGGCGCGUG
rnacentral:sRNA from 1 species